AAAUGAAUAGACGGGGGCCCGCACAAGCAGUGGAGUAUGUGGUUUAAUUCGAAGCAACGCGAAGAACCUUACCAGGGCUUGACAUAUACAGGAAUAUAGCAGAGAUGCUAUAGCUCUUCGGAGUCUGUAUACAGGUGGUGCAUGGUUGUCGUCAGCUCGUGUCGUGAGAUGUUGGGUUAAGUCCCGCAACGAGCGCAACCCCUGUGAUUAGUUGCCAGCACGUAAUGGUGGGAACUCUAGUCAGACUGCCGGUGAUAAAUCGGAGGAAGGUGGGGACGACGUCAAAUCAUCAUGCCCUUUAUGUCCUGGGCUACACACGUACUACAAUGGUCGUUACAGAGAGAGGCAAUAUAGUAAUAUGGAGCAAAACUCAAAAAGCGACCUCAGUUCGGAUUGAAGGCUGAAAUUCGCCUUCAUGAAGCUGGAAUUGCUAGUAAUGGCAGGUCAGCAUACUGCCGUGAAUACGUUCCCGGGCCUUGUACACACCGCCCGU
rnacentral:rRNA from 1 species